AAGGAAAUUUAAUUUUAAGCUUCUAACUUUUAAUAAGCACUAAAUUUGUAAA
rnacentral:tRNA from 1 species